ensembl:misc_RNA
UAGAGGCGGCGGAGACAGGAAUGAAGCCAAGGCUGGGGAUGCGGGAGGUGGGAGGGGGAACCCAGCUGCA